UUGGAGGGCAAGUCUGGUGCCAGCAGCCGCGGUAAUUCCAGCUCCAAUAGCGUAUAUUAAAGUUGUUGCAGUUAAAAAGCUCGUAGUUGAAUUUCGGAAUCUGUCCGUCGGUCGGGCUUCACUGUUCGUACUGGUGUGGUGGGUUCUUACCUUCUGAAUAACCAGCAUGCCAUUCACUUGGUGCGUUGGGGAAGCAGGACUAUUACCUUGAAAAAAUUAGAGUGCUCAAAGCAGGCUAGUGCCUGAAUAUAUUAGCAUGGAAUAAUAAAAUAGGACGGCAAUGGUUCUAUUUUGUUGGUUUCUAGGAUCACCGUAAUGAUUAAUAGGGAUAGUUGGGGGCAUUAGUAUUCAAUUGUCAGAGGUGAAAUUCUUGGAUUUAUUGAAGACUAACUUCUGCGAAAGCAUUUGCCAAGGAUGUUUUCAUUAAUCAAGAACGAAAGUUAGGGGAUCGAAGACGAUCAGAUACCGUCGUAGUCUUAACCAUAAACUAUGCCGACUAGGGAUCGGACGAUGUUAAUUUUUUAAUGACUCGUUCGGCGCCUUACGGGAAAC
rnacentral:rRNA from 1 species